GAAUACCUCGCCUAGUCUAAGG
rnacentral:miRNA from 1 species